rnacentral:misc_RNA from 1 species
AAAGUCGUAACAAGGUUUCCGUAGGUGAACCUGCGGAAGGAUCAUUAACACGUAUCCAACGUUAAACCCCCCGUGCACCUUAAUCCUGCUCGCCUCACCUUGACAAAGCAAUCUCUGGUAAAUCACGCCUGACCGGUUUUGAUUCAGAGACUUCUUCGAGACGUGAUCGCUGGAGCGGAGAGCAAUUAGACUUGGUUUCCGAAAGGAUAACUGAUAUUUACUCAGACCGUUGUGCCUCACGCUCAACGGACAGGUCUCUGGGGCGCAAGCCCCCAAAUAUUAACCCAACCCCCGUAGGUGAAAGUCGUGCUGCGUAAAGUAGGCACACAAAAACGAACAACUGUUAACAAUGGAUAUCUUGGUUCUC